CCUACGGGUGGCAGCAGUGAGGAAUAUUGGUCAAUGGCCGGAAGGCUGAACCAGCCAUGCCGCGUGAAGGUCAGUGCCCUAUGGGCGUUAAACUUCUUUUGUGCGGGAGCAAUAAUGGUCACGUGUGGCCAGACGAGAGUACCGUACGAAUAAGCAUCGGCUAACACCGUGCCAGCCGCCGCGGUAAUACGGGGGAGGCAAGCGUUAUCCGGAUUUUUUGGGGUUUAAGGGUGCGUGGGCUGUGAGGUAAGUCAGCGGUGAAAUGCCGCCGCUCAACGGGGUGAAGUGCCAUUGAUACUGCCUUGCUGGAGUGCGGAUGCCGUGGGCGGAAUGUGUGGUGUAGCGGUGAAAUGCAUAGAUAUCACACAGAACACCGAUUGCGAAGGCAUCUCACGAAUCCGCGAUUGACGCUGAUGCACGAAAGCGUGGGUAUCAAACAGGAUUAGAUACCCGGGUAGUC
rnacentral:rRNA from 1 species